GGGGGGGGGGGGUGAGAGUUGCACGUCUUCAGUGGAGUACCACGUUGUGCCGGAUCCGCCACGCCGUGCAGCAACUGAGCUCCGCUGAAAGAGAUGCAGUGCCAUUAAGAGAAGAGAAGAAGAAGCAGAGAAGGACCCCCCCCCCCCUACUAGGCGGAGAGAAUAUACGCCUGUGAGUAAUGUCGUACUGAAUGGUUUGGUUUAACAGUUUGGUGUUAAAAUAUGAAAUGUUUAAGUCUCUUUUUGUUGUAUGUGUUGCUGCUCUGUACGUAUCAAAGUAACAGUGGAAGAUGGUUUAUAAUCAAUAAUUGGCCCCAUUAUACAGUAUGCUGGCAUUUACAUGGGGGAAUUUCUUUCGAUAUGAAAUGGCUUGGUUGAACAUUUUGGUCAUGAAUAAUACAAUAUUGACAUCUUAUUUGUUUUACGUGUCAGGUUCACAGUAAACUAAAGCGGGAGCGAGAAAUAAACAGCGGGACGCAAGCGCGCCCUUGCCUCCUAUUCGGAGAAUUGCGCGGCACUGCAUCAAAAAUCGACAUCAAUGUGUAAAGGAUAUCACCGCAUGGGCUCAGGAAUACUUCAGAAAACCAAUGUCAGUAAAUACAGUUCGGCGCUACAUCCCUCAUAUGGUUCAAGCCGCAAUUUACAACUCUCACCGGAGCGGUUGGGAUGAGAAUCAGCACCUCCAAAUCUGA